AGACCACCUCAGACCCAGCUGGAAUGGGUGCAGCUCAUGGACUCCCAGCAGCGUUACCAUGACGACGAGCUCCAGAAGUGGAGAGACAUAAUCAAAUCAUCACUGCUGCUGCUUGAUAAGCUAAGAGACUCCCUUCUCAACCUCCAUAAAAGCAUUGGCCUCAGGGACUACAACUCUGAGUCGGACAAAAGGAGAAACCAGUAUCACUGAUCGAUAAUAUCAAGGCAUGCGGACAUGAUGUGCAAUAUUAAGCCUACCUUUUCUGAGCCCGUGGAGAGAGUGUGGCCUUUUAAAGGCAGUGCUUGGAGUUCAGUCAGAGAGCUUUUUCAACAGUUCAAGUGACCUCAUCAGCCUGCAGUAGAUGAGAGCACACUAACACACCACAAUGUGUCCUGCUGAGAGACUAAAUCAUUGGCAGGCCUCGUCUGUAGCUUUACUUCUGUCUUGUUCAUCCACAUUCUCCACCCGAAGCUGUAUCACUUUUUUUUUUUCUUCUUCUUGUCACAUACAGACAAAGAUUAGACUGAUCCAAAGCAUGCAACUUUUUCUGGCUUCUGAUAUUUUGCCAAGUGAAAAUCCAUAUUGGAAUUAAAUAUGCAUUCACUUUCAGAGGUGCAAAAAUACAUACAAAUUUUUCUUCCCCUUCGAGGAACUCCGACAGCUGCUGUAUCUCUUCGUUUUUUUACCUUUGAAACUGGGAAACACGAUAAGAGACUGUAAUAAAUCCACAGCCUGCAGUAUUUCAACCUAUUUUUUUGCUCAGCAGAACUAUGAAGAAUCGAGAUGUAACGGCAUACAUGUGCAUGUGUGGUUGGGUGAGUGCAUAUGUGUGCAUGUGUGUAUGUGUGGGAUUUAUAAGAUGUAUAUGGUAGUCAGGGCUAUUUUUACCAGGCAUAUCAGGCAGAUCAGGGCUGGUUUCCCUGAGAGCUUAUGCCAUACUUUUGUGAUUCUAUGUUUAUGUUUUCUAUGGCAUAAAUAUUCUGAACUCUGGCUGGGGCAUCGCUCUGCAGUUCUGAGUUAGUGACAUGUUGAAGAGGAGGAUUUGAUUUGCAAGCAGAGAGAAUAUAUGGAAAGAAAGCAGGAAUGCGUAGCUGAAGGUGGCACAACUCCAAGUUUCCUAACGUGUUGCCAAGGUAAUAAAGAAAUGUUUUGUUCACAGCCAACCAUCAGUGUCAUUCCAGUGUUUUAAUGAUUUACUCUGACACGUCUCUGCUGCUCCAUCACUGCCAAGGCUCACAUGUCAACGUUAUUAUCCUGUUACCCUAUUUAAGCCAUUUCAUUGCAUUACAUUGAUUCAUGUGUAAUUGUCAUGUAAAAGUAAAAAUGUACUGUGGGCGCACAGUCCCGCCAUGAAGUAGGAUCAAUGUGAGUUGCAGUGAAAUUCAAUAUGUGCUAUGUUUCUGCACUGCAGGUAUGUUCUGCAGAUAUCAAUCAUGUUUUGGUGAUUUUACAAACAUUUCUCAGGAGCAGAGCUGAUCUGCAUCAGAUAUAAACUGGCUGGUUUGAGGUGGAGGUCAGCAGGCAGAGACACAGAGCCACAGUUCAUUAGUAUACAGCUUAGGGCUCAUUUAUACUCCCUUUAUCCAUGAAAAUAGAUAUGUCCAUUUCAAGCGUCGCAAACAUCACUGUCCUCAUACUUCCAUGCAGCCUUUAUGAUGGCAUAGAUACAGCUGUUGGAUGGCACUAGAUGGCAGAGUUGAGCAUUUCACACAACAAAUCAGGGGACAGUGGAGGAGGUCAUAAUACUGUACCUUUAAAAAGGGGCAGUGUUAGAUAUGGUUGGUGGUCUGUGAGGCCAUUAAAUACAUCCCAGCAUGUGGAUGAAGAGUUCUUUUCACCAGGGCUGCCCCCAACUAAGAAUUUUCCUAGUUGACUAAUAGUUGUCAUUUAGGGCCGUUACUUGACUAGUCGCCUGAGUGUUUACGAUAUUAAUUCAGGUCUGAGAAAGAAUAGUAUCAGUACCAUUGUUAACACUUUUGAUUUAUUUUGACAAGGUGCAGCUCCUAAAAGAGUUUCCCUUUUUUUAUAUAUAUAUUACUAUAUUAGCCAUUCAUUCUGUUCUGCCAUUAUUUAAAUUUUGUCGUCAUCUCCUACAGUCGUAUCUUGCUUGAAGUAUGCUACACUGCCUCCUUGUUUACAGGUGGUACUGCUCUGUUUCAUCUGUACCCAUAAGCUUUCAGAAAACGUGCACAAAUAUGGACAAAAAGAAUGCAGGGUUUGGACAGAAGGCUGUGUCCAUCUCCAUACCUAAUGUUGAGCAUUAAUGAGCCCUUGCAAUAGCUAACAGGCAACCUCAAGAGCAAACAAGAAAUCAUUCACUUUAAAAUUGUGCAAGUGGAUGGUGGUAAAAGGGUCUGAUAAAGCACCACCCACAGGUUUCCGACCACUUUAAAACUGUACAAAUCAGUACUUUCUGAUGAGGGUCACUGACGGACCCACACAGAUUAAUCACCAAAUGUUUUAUACUCUUUUAGCUUAUUGUUUUGGUCAUACUGUCGCAAACUCUGCCUGCAUCAAUUCAGAUUUUAGUGGAUGCAGCAGUUGGUGGAAUCCAAACCAGGAGUCCAUUCCUGAAAUUUGCUUUGGUGUAGCCUGGGUCCAGACCUUAGAAUCUGCCGACUCCAACAAGUUCACUGAUUCAUCUGGAAUUAUGACAAGAAACAAGUUUCUUUAUUGAAAUGAAAAGAAAUCAAUAAGCACUGUACAAAAGACCCAGCUCUUUCUGCUGUGUCUUGGCCACACCCAGCCUCACAUGCAGCACUGACACACCCCUGCACUCAGUUACCUCUGAUUGAGAACUGUUGGUCCUAUAAAUUGCAGUCAACACAGAUACUCAGGUUGGUCACACAAAGCAAGUCCACAAUGCCUUGUCUCUCCCACUCAUUGAGUACAUUUCCUGAUUAGAUUGCAAAAAGAACCAAACCAUGCAAACAAAACCAACUUUGUUUCAUCCCCAUCCAAUCACAGCUAAAAUGCCAAAAAAAAGAGGAUAAUAUAAAGUAAGUAUCCCCCACUUUAGCAUAGAAAAAAACUAAAUCUGGCCUGUUAUGGACUACUGGACUAUGAUAAAUAAAACUGAAUAGCAUUAGCUUUACAAAACUCCAACUCAUUUCAUCAAGAUAUAUGCUUCAUCAGAUAAGCUCUGUCCUCUCUAACUCCUUGACUUCAGUUUCAUUUAGAUGUCAAGGAAUAUUUGGCUCUAUCUACUGAGGUUUACCUCUCGCCAGCGGUUUCUGCCUCAGAGGAAUGUUUGUCUAAUGAAACACCACACUGUUUACCCAGUGCUGAUACUAUUUUCCAGAAAAUGUGUCCAUGUCCCAGUAGGAGGACUUGGUCUCUGUCAGUGUGUGCAGAAAUGUAAUCAGUCACUGCCAGUGAAGCAGCUAUAAGAAUGUGUCUGUUGAUACUUUCAUGAGUAUAUUUAUACGUCAAACCCUUGACGAAACUGUUUGGGAUCAGUGUGUCAGUAUAUGUCUUGCAGAAACUCUGCGUUGCCAUGUUUGCCUUUUCUUUUCUUUUCUUUUUUUUUCUUUUACUGACACUUGUCCAACCUUUGAAAAUGUUUUCUAAUUUAAGGAUGAACGUCAAACUAUUUAAAUGUGUGAAAAAUGUUGAAAUUUUAAAGAAGGGAUAUGAAAACAUUGUCUUUUUGGUCUUACAAGGUUUCUAUGCUACACUGUUGCAUGCAGAAUAUGUUUUACAGUUGAUUUUUAAUCCUCGAAAAUGUCCUGUUUCAUGAAAGACUAACCAGGAAAGCAUUAUUGAGUUUUGUGUAUGACGCAAAAUCCUUGCAGUGUGAGAAAUGUAGGUGAGCUGAGUGUCUAAUAUACUGUAAAUUGCUGCAAAAAGAAAAAAAGGCAGAGAUUUAUUUUUAUGUGUAUGGUGUAAGAGAGAAGAAGGCAUAUAAAGCUAUUACAGAAAUGUGAAAA